rnacentral:rRNA from 1 species
AUUGAACGCUGGCGGCAUGCCUUACACAUGCCAGUCGAACGGUAACGGGCCUUCGGGUGCCGACGAGUGGCGAACGGGUGAGUAAUACAUCGGAACGUGCCCGAUCGUGGGGGAUAACGAGGCGAAAGCUUUGCUAAUACCGCAUACGAUCUACGGAUGAAAGCAGGGGACCGCAAGGCCUUGCGCGGACGGAGCGGCCGAUGGCAGAUUAGGUAGUUGGUGGGAUAAAAGCUUACCAAGCCGACGAUCUGUAGCUGGUCUGAGAGGAUGAUCAGCCACACUGGGACUGAGACACGGCCCAGACUCCUACGGGAGGCAGCAGUGGGGAAUUUUGGACAAUGGGCGCAAGCCUGAUCCAGCCAUGCCGCGUGCAGGAUGAAGGCCUUCGGGUUGUAAACUGCCUUUGUACGGAACGAAAAGCCUUCUUUUAAUACAGGAGGGUCAUGACGGUACCGUAAGAAUAAGCACCGGCUAACUACGUG